GAUGAACGCUAGCUACAGGCUUAACACAUGCAAGUCGAGGGGAAACGAUAGAGAAAGCUUGCUUUUUCUAGGCGUCGACCGGCGCACGGGUGAGUAACGCGUAUCCAACCUGCCCAUCACUUGGGGAUAACCUUGCGAAAGUAAGACUAAUACCCAAUGACGUCUCUAGAAGACAUCUGAAAGGGAUUAAAGAUUUAUCGGUGAUGGAUGGGGAUGCGUCUGAUUAGCUUGUUGGCGGGGUAACGGCCCACCAAGGCGACGAUCAGUAGGGGCUCUGAGAGGAAGGUCCACCACAUUGGACCUGAGACACGGUCCAAACUCCUACGGGAGGCAGCAGUGAGGAAUAUUGGUCAAUGGACGAGAGUCUGAACCAGCCAAGUAGCGUGCAGGAUGACGGCCCUAUGGGUUGUAAACUGCUUUUAUAAGGGAAUAAAGUGAGAGUCGUGACUCUUUUUGCAUGUACCUUAUGAAUAAGGACCGGCUAAUUCCGUGCCAGCCGCCGCGGUAA
rnacentral:rRNA from 1 species